rnacentral:tRNA from 1 species
UAGCUCAGCUGGUAGAGCAUGGUGUUUGCAACGCCAGGGUUGUGGGUUUGAUUCCCAC